rnacentral:rRNA from 1 species
CCUACGGGGGGCAGCAGUGGGGAAUAUUGGACAAUGGGGGAAACCCUGAUGCAGCGACGCCGCGUGAGUGAAGAAGUAAUUCGGUAUGUAAAGCUCUAUCAGCAGGGAAGAAAAUGACGGUACCUGAGUAAGAAGCCCCGGCUAACUACGUGCCAGCAGCCGCGGUAAUACGUAGGGGGCAAGCGUUAUCCGGAUUUACUGGGUGUAAAGGGAGCGUAGACGGCAGUGCAAGUCUGGAGUGAAAGGCGGGGGCUCAACCCCCGAACUGCUCUGGAAACUGUGAGGCUGGAGUGCAGGAGAGGUAAGUGGAAUUCCUGGUGUAGCGGUGAAAUGCGUAGAUAUUAGGAGGAACACCGGUGGCGAAGGCGGCUUACUGGACUGUAACUGACGUUGAGGCUCGAAAGCGUGGGGAGCAAACAGGAUUAGAUACCCUUGUAGUC